CUACGGGGGGCUGCAGUGGGGAAUAUUGCACAAUGGAGGAAACUCUGAUGCAGCAAUGCCGCGUGGAGGAUGACACUUUUCGGAGCGUAAACUCCUUUUAUAUAGGAAGAAGAUGACGGUACUAUAUGAAUAAGCGCCGGCUAACUCCGUGCCAGCAGCCGCGGUAAUACGGAGGGCGCAAGCGUUACUCGGAAUCACUGGGCGUAAAGAGCGUGUAGGCGGAUUAAAAAGUCAGAAGUGAAAUCCUAUAGCUUAACUAUAGAACUGCUUCUGAAACUCUUAAUCUAGAAUAUGGGAGAGGUAGAUGGAAUGUCUGGUGUAGGGGUAAAAUCCGUAGAGAUCAGAAGGAAUACCGAUUGCGAAGGCGAUCUACUAGAACAUUAUUGACGCUGAGACGCGAAAGCGUGGGGAGCAAACAGGAUUAGAUACCCUCGUAGUC
rnacentral:rRNA from 1 species